ensembl:snoRNA snoRNA:M snoRNA:M
AAUUCAAUGAUUUCAACUUCACUGCUGACCAGCCACGCCUCAACGCCUCGGAGUGUUUGCCCCCAGUCUCUGAUAGAUACACCAUAUUCUAAUACACAC